rfam:Chrysosporum ovalisporum strain TAM-MAO genome assembly, contig: 2400
UGUCAAGAGUCACGGCACCUAACUGGUGAGCAGAUUUCUUUUGCCUCUUUGAAAGGCAGGGAAAUUAUG